rnacentral:tRNA from 1 species
AGUAAAAUGACUGAAAAUAAGUGAUAAAUUGUAAAUUUAUUUAUAAGAUUAAUUCUUUUUUACUA